rnacentral:rRNA from 1 species
CCCUUAGAUGUCCUGGGCCGCACGCGCGCUACACUGAGUAAUUCAAUGGGUAAGGGAACGCUAGAGCAUUACCUAAUCUUGAAAUUUGCUCGUGAUGGGGAUCGACGGUUGCAAUUUUCCGUCGUGAACGAGGAAUACCUUGUAGGCGCAUGUCAUCAUCAUGCGCCGAAUACGUCCCUGCCCUUUGUACACACCGCCCGUCGCUCCUACCGAUUGAGUGAUCCGGUGAGGCUCUGGGACCUGGACGGAAAGAGCGUUUCGCUUGUUCUGUUUGGGAAACUUGGUCGAACCUUAUCAUUUAGAGGAAGGAGAAGUCGUAACA